AAUAGAUACCCAGGUAGUCCACGCCGUAAACGAUGAGUGCUAAGUGUUAGAGGGUUUCCGCCCUUUAGUGCUGCAGCUAACGCAUUAAGCACUCCGCCUGGGGAGUACGGCCGCAAGGCUGAAACUCAAAGGAAUUGACGGGGGCCCGCACAAGCGGUGGAGCAUGUGGUUUAAUUCGAAGCAACGCGAAGAACCUUACCAGGUCUUGACAUCCUCCGACACUCCUAGAGAUAGGACUUUCCCCUUCGGGGGACAGAGUGACAGGUGGUGCAUGGUUGUCGUCAGCUCGUGUCGUGAGAUGUUGGGUUAAGUCCCGCAACGAGCGCAACCCUUGAUCUUAGUUGCCAGCAUUCAGUUGGGCACUCUAAGGUGACUGCCGGUGACAAACCGGAGGAAGGUGGGGAUGACGUCAAAUCAUCAUGCCCCUUAUGACCUGGGCUACACACGUGCUACAAUGGAUGGUACAAAGGGCUGCAAGACCGCGAGGUUUAGCCAAUCCCAUAAAACCAUUCUCAGUUCGGAUUGCAGG
rnacentral:rRNA from 1 species